AACCUUAUGGACCUGCGGGCGUAUACCUGCGGAGGGAUCAUUACCUAGAGUUGUAGGCUCCGCCUACCAUCUCUUACCCAUGUCUUUUGAGUACCUUCGUUUCCUCGGCGGGUCCGCCCGCCGAUUGGACAAUACUUAAACCCUUUGUAGUUGCAAUCAGCGUCUGAAAAAACUUAAUAGUUACAACUUUCAACAACGGAUCU
rnacentral:misc_RNA from 1 species